ensembl:snoRNA
UACCCCUGGCAAUGGGCAAAGAGGCACUUUGUUCUUGGUGCUGUUCUUAUAUCAGUCAGGGGAAGAGCAGAUGGUAGUCCUUUGUUCAACCUAGCUUGAUGCCUUGUUUGGUGGCCAAAGUUGUUACAUGCGUAGGACACAUAA